rnacentral:rRNA from 1 species
AAGACCUUGCGCUUUUGGAGCGGCCGAUGUCUGAMUAGCUUGUUGGUGAGGUAAAAGCUUACCAAGGCUUCGAUCAGUAGCUGGUCUGAGAGGACGACCAGCCACACUGGGACUGAGACACGGCCCAGACUCCUACGGGAGGCAGCAGUGGGGAAUUUUGGACAAUGGGGGCAACCCUGAUCCAGCCAUGCCGCGUGAGUGAAGAAGGCCUUCGGGUUGUAAAGCUCUUUCAGCCGGAACGAAACGGUUACGGUUAAUACCCGUGAUUACUGACGGUACCGGAAGAAGAAGCACCGGCUAACUACGUGCCAGCAGCCGCGGUAAUACGUAGGGUGCGAGCGUUAAUCGGAAUUACUGGGCGUAAAGCGUGCGCAGGUGGUUUUGUAAGUCAGAUGUGAAAUCCCCGGGCUUAACCUGGGAACU